AAUUCUGUUUUAAUUUUUAAUGAAUAAUAUGUGCUUGUGUAUAUACUGAUGCUAUACUAUAAUAUUGUAUUAUUAUUAUUUGUUAUGUAGGGAUAUUUAAAUAAACCAUGGGAAAAGAUAUAAAUCACUUGUUCAACUCAACAAUAGAUAUUAGGUAUCUACUAUAAUACUGUAAAUAUAUAGUUAAAACUAUUUGAAAAUAUUGUUUAGGAUACAAAUGUUUAAAUAUCAAAUAAUCAAUUAGUAAUUUUUCAAUAAAUAUACAGCUAUAAAAAAUGAUUCAUU